rnacentral:rRNA from 1 species
CCUACGGGUGGCAGCAGUGAGGAAUAUUGGUCAAUGGACGAGAGUCUGAACCAGCCAAGUAGCGUGAAGGAUGACUGCCCUAUGGGUUGUAAACUUCUUUUAUAUGGGAAUAAAACGUUCCACGUGUGGGAUUUUGUAUGUACCAUAUGAAUAAGGCACGGCUAACUCCGUGCCAGCAGCCGCGGUAAUACGGAGGAUCCGAGCGUUAUCCGGAUUUAUUGGGUUUAAAGGGAGCGUAGGUGGAUUGUUAAGUCAGUUGUGAAAGUUUGCGGCGCAACCGUAAAAUUGCAGUUGAAACUGGCAGUCUUGAGUACAGGAGAGGUGGGCGGAAUUCGUGGUGUAGCGGUGAAAUGCGUAGAUAUCACGAAGAACUCCGAUUGCGAAGGCAGUUCACUGGACUGCAACUGACACUGAGGCUCGAAAGUGUGGGUAUCAAACAGGAUGAGAUACCCCAGUAGUC